rnacentral:lncRNA from 1 species
GUGAUGAGAUGUUUAACCAAUGCAAGGUUAGCAGAAGCAAUAUGUACCAUUAAUAGACCCCACUGAUAAACCUUCUCAUGGUCACCUCCCUCUUCUCUCCCCAGGUAUCAGGUGAAUAGAGAAGAUAUAGAAGAGGUCCUUGGUUUCCGAAUUGCCACUGGAUUGCCUCUAUCAAAUAUCCAAGAGUUUCAUGAGUGGGAAAUAACCUUCUGUUGCUUUAAAUCUUGGGUUGUGCAAUGCAUCAGUGAGCCUACCAUGACUAAUACAUCCUAUGAAUGUAGAUUUCUCUUCUCUAGCCACUGACAUGAGUGUGCAUUCUGGAUGCAGUCACAGGGGACUCAAGAUUCUUGGACAGAAUUCUCGCCGGGAGCCAACUCAGCCUGAUCUGCUGGCAUCUCUCAAGUAUCCGAAGUCAACAAAAUGGUUUGCCUUGAAGACUUGGCCAGAGCAGCAGCCAAAGUUCAUCAGGCUUUCAUAGAGAGAUUGUUGUUCUAAGAAAACAAAAUUCUAAGGGUUCCCAUUGUGCAACUGGGGUGGCAAAAUGCAAACUAGUAUAAGGAAAAAAAAUGCUUUUCAUUUCCAUGGAAGAAGUGACCCAUCCUAUUGUUUUGGUAUUUCCUUUUCUGUGCUAACUUAUUCCAUUAAUUAGGCUCUCAUUUUAUGAGAUAAAUUUCACUGCAUGCAUAUCUUCUUUUGGUUAUUACACAAGGACUGUUUUCUAUGGUUCAUAUCUAAGUCUAGCCCUGGAAGAAUCUUUUUUUUUUUUUUUUUUUGAGACAGACUUUUUUGUUUUGUUUUGAGACAACACUCCCUCUGUUGCCCAGGCUGGAAUGCAGUGACGAGAUCAUAGCUCACUGCAACUUCUGCCUCCUAGGCUCAAACAGUCCUCCCACCUCAGCCUCCCAAGUUGCUGGGAUUACAGGCAAGUGCCAUCACACCCGGCUAAUUUUUCGAUUUUUAGUAGAAAUGAAGUUUUGCCAUGUUGGCCAGGCUGAUCUCAAACUCCUGCCCUCAAGUGAUCUGCCCUCGUCAGCCUCCCAAAGUGCUGGGAUUACAGGUGUGAGCCACCGUGCCCAGCUUGGCCUUGGAAAAAUCUUGAUGUAGAAUUUAUCUGCAGGUAUGUCCAUCUCUAUUUUCCAUUCUUAGUAAAUGUUUUAGUUUGACAGUAAACGUGUUGAGACAUUUACGAUUGAGAGAGCGCCUAAGCAGCCCAAAGUGCUGGGAGUCUCUCCUAAGGAAUUAGAUGCACGCAGCUUUUUUCCCUCACAGACACUUUACUGAGCAGUCAUGUUGGGCUUGGGUGGCAUCUGCUAUUAAGACACACUAUUCAGCAAUAAAACCCUGAAAAUUGCAUUGCACAGAACUGAUAAAAAUGAAAUGACUUAAGAAACAUAUUUAUGGUAUAUAUACACAGAAAAAGAAUGAAAGUUUGAGGGGGGUAUUGCCUUUGAGAAGAAGAGUUAUGAGUAGUUUUUAUUUCCUUUUUUAUUAAUCUGUAUUUCAUUUUUUAGGCAAGCAAAUAUAUUAUUUAGACAACAAAAUAUGUAUUAUAAAGAAAAGACAUUUUUUUUGUUUCUUCUUUGCUUUUCUAAGAGGAAACUUUGACUACAAUUGCUUGUGAGUGAUACCUGUGUUCUGGUAGCUUAAGAAGACACAAUGUGGUUAGGGAAGGAUAAGAACAGAUGGCUUUAAUAAAUGUACUCAAGGCUAAUGUACUCUUCGUAGACUCAGGCUUCAGAUUAGAUCUCUUAUCUAUAUUGGCACCAGGAUGUGGUUUUGAGUUCUCUGCUUUUUCUACAGCUUUAGGGAAAUCUGCAUGCAGACACAUCCAAUUGUCCAAACCAAAAUCACAUCCAGGAUGUGAGGCAGCCUGGGAAAGGUCAUUUUGAGUUCUGUAGUCUCCGAAGUAUGAAAACACAUAUACACGUAUACAUACACACAUUCACACCCACACACUUUUGAAGGAAGAUGGAAUGGAAGAUAAGCACCACAGUGAAACUUUAGAAGAAUUUCCAUUACACUAAGGAAAAAAAGAUAGAGGGUCCAUUUUCAUCACUUUUAUCACUGUUGCCUAGAAGAUAAGCUGAAUAACAUAAAAUAAAAAGUGUAUAGAACACUUGGAAAAAAUAUAAAAGAUUGGUCCCAUUCUCAGAUGACAUGAUAUUCAAUGAGGAACCAACCAUAAACAGGUUGUUAUGAACUGAAUAUUAGUGUGACCCCAAAAUUCACAUGCUGAAAUCUUAACCCCAACGUGAUGGUGUUAGAUGGUGAGGCUUUUUAGGUGCUGACACAGUAUAAUGCCUCUUCUAUGAAGAAGCGGGCCUUUGUCAGUUACCAAAUCUGCAGAUGCCUUGAUCUUGAACUUCCCAGCCUCCAGAACUUGGAGGAAUAAAUGUUUGUUGUUUGUAAACCACCCAGUUUAUGGUAUUUUAUUAUAGCUGCUCAAAGGGUCUAAGACUCAAGUAUAAGUCAUAAGUAAAUGCAUCAAAUUUGCUGAAUAUAAAUCACAUAUAAAAAUUCAACAGCAUGCUUGGAUCCCUGGGAUGAAUCACAUCUGGUCAUGGCAAGUAAUCUAAAAAAUAAUAAUAAAAUCAAUUUUAAAAAUUAAAAAAGCAACAAUAUUUACUAUUCACUGCCAAUGACCAAUUACAAAAUGGCAUAAACAUGACAUCUGUGGUAAUGACAAAUACCCUAAGGUAACUAGAACUACAAGUAAUAAAAGAUGUGUAUGAUUUAUAGAGAAGGUUGUAGAAAGAAAAAAAUUAAAAGUGAAAACCUAAAUGGGAAGAAACAUCAUAUAUAUUGGGUCAAAGCAGAUAUCAUAAUAUAAAUUAUAAAAUACAGAACUAAAUAAUAUUAUUUAGUAUUUUAUAUACUAAACUUCAAAAUGUGUUGGAUACACCUGAAGUAGCACUAAAGAGGAAUUUACAGCUUUGAAUACAUGUAUUGGAGGAGGAAAGAGAUAAAGUUUAAUGUGGCAGUAAGCACCCACUUAAGAAAAAGUACAAAAAGAAAAUAGUAGUAGUAGAAAGUAAUAAAAUAUAAAAGAGGUUUUUAAAAAGAUGCUUACAAAAUGGACAGUUUUUAUGGGGAUUGAACAAGAACAAAGAAAGAAGGCACUAAUAACUCAUGUCAAGAAUGUGGAAGUGGAUAUGUGGAUAUAACUAAAAUGCUGCAGUUAUUCAAGAUAAGAGUAUUAUUAGUAACUAUAAAAUAAUACAUUUAAAAACUUGGUCAAAACGGUCAAAUUUCUAGAAAAAUGUACCUCAACAAAACUGAUUCAAGAAAAAUAACCCAUUAAAAAUAAAUCAGCGGUUACCUUUCCCCCCUUUUUUUUUUGACAAGAAAAUACCAAAUGGUUUUACCAGCAAGAUCUGCCAAAUAUUCAAGAAACGAGUAAUUUAAAUCUUAAACAGAAUUUUCCAGAGAAUAGAAAAUGGGAAGAGGGUUGUUCCUCAUCUUAUUUUAUGAAGCUAGUAUACACAUCGGUGCCAACAUUUGACAAGGGAAGUCUGAAAAAGGAAAAUCACAGACUAACCUCUGCCAUGAGCAGAGACUUAAAAAAUUAUAAACAAAAUAUUUGCCAACCAAAUCCAAAUAUAAAAAGGAUUGGACACCAUGAUCAAGUUGAGCUCAUCCUAGGAAUGUAUCCUUUAUGGUAACAUUUGGGAAAGCAAAAUACAUGGGUGCACAUGCAAGAGGUAAGAGAUUGAGACCAGGAGUCUGUAGGACUUCUGAUUUCAUCCAUUUUUUCCAAGUGAAUUAGAUUUUCUUUAAAAAAGGUUACUGGGUGAAGACGCAGAUAGAGGACCAGGUCUUGGAGAUUUAAGGAGAAAGGAAGUAUGAUAUAGUCUUCCAGAAGACUGGAAGAGUAAAUAGAAUAUAGUGUGAUUGCAUUGGGUCUCAUCUGAGCUUUAUGGGCAUGAAUUUAAAGAUUAUUUAUUAGAUGACCUGGUUUGUGCAGUAAGAAAACAUUUGUUUAGGGAUUAGGAAGGAACAAAUAAAACUAAAACUCUCCCAUUACUCACAGAAGACAUGAUGAUUCUUAUAGAAAACCCAAAAGAUAUUAUGUCAAUAUAGAAAAGUCAAUUACUUUUUUUUUUUUUUUUUUUUGCUUUAAAUUCUGGGACACAUGUGCAGAAUGUGCUGGUUUGUUACAUAGAUAUAUAUGUGCCAUGGUGCUUUCCUGUACCUAUCAACCCAUCAUCUAGGUUUUAAGCCCAGAAUGCAUUAGGUAUUUGUCCUAAAACUCUCCCCCUCCCCUUCCCCCACUCCCC